GAUGAACGCUGACAGAAUGCUUAACACAUGCAAGUCUUUGGCGAAGCUGUGCUUGCACCGCCUAGCCAAGGCGGACGGGUGAGUAACGCGUAAGGAACUUGCCCUGCAGUCAGGGAUAACAGACGGAAACGACUGAUAAGACCUGGUAAAGUCAGGCGGACUCAUGUCCAGCCUGAUGAAAAGAGAUGCUGCAGGAGAGCCUUGCGUCCUAUUAGCUUGUUGGUGGGGUAACGGCCCACCAAGGCGAUGAUAGGUAGCCGGCCUGAGAGGGUGGACGGCCACAAGGGGACUGAGAUACGGCCCUUACUCCUACGGGAGGCAGCAGGGGGGAAUAGUGGACAAUGGGGGCAACCCUGAUCCAGCAAUUCUGUGUGCACGAUGAAGGUUUUCGGAUUGUAAAGUGCUUUCAGCAGGGAAGAAAAAAAUGACGGUACCUGCAGAAGAAGCGACGGCUAAAUACGUG
rnacentral:rRNA from 1 species